rnacentral:rRNA from 1 species
UGAGGAAUAUUGGUCAAUGGACGGAAGUCUGAACCAGCCAUGCCGCGUGAAGGAUGAAGGCGUUCUGCGUUGUAAACUUCUUUUAUCAGAGAAGAAACCACUGAUUUCUAUUAGUGUUGACGGUAUCUGAUGAAUAAGCACCGGCUAACUCCGUGCCAGCAGCCGCGGUAAUACGGAGGGUGCAAGCGUUAUCCGGAUUUACUGGGUUUAAAGGGUGUGUAGGCGGGCUAUUAAGUCAGGGGUGAAAUCCCGGGGCUCAACCUCGGAACUGCCUUUGAUACUAUUAGUCUUGAAUUAUGUUGAGGUUGGCGGAAUAUAACAUGUAGCGGUGAAAUGCAUAGAUAUGUUAUAGAACACCGAUUGCGAAGGCAGCUGGCUAAACAUAUAUUGACGCUGAGGCACGAAAGCGUGGGUAGCGAACAGGAUUAGAUACCCUGGUAGUCCACGCCCUAAACGAUGAUUACUCGUCAUUUGCGAUAUACAGUAAGUGACCAAGCGAAAGCGUUAAGUAAUCCACCUGGGAAGUACGACCGCAAGGUUGAAACUCAAAGGAAUUGACGGAGACGUCUAC